UUUUCUUUUUUUCUGUUUUUUUUCAUUACUUAUUUUUAUUUCAAUUUCAUCAUUUAGUUAACUUAGGAUUUUUUUUCUUCUUUUUGAUAGUUUUUUUUAUCAUUUAAUACUAAAUUAAAUAAGAAUUGAACUUCAUGAUUUAUUCUAAUUUGUUUUAUUAAAAAUUAUUCCAAUUUCAUAACUCAUGUCAUAGGUUUUAUGGAUUAUGUCUCUUUUUAAUUGAAUUUUUUAUUAAUUUCAUUUUGCAAUAUUAAAUUGAUUGAGAAUUAGACUUUAUAAUUUAUUUUAAUUUAUUUUAUAUGAGAUUAUCACGGUCUCAUAACCGGAAUUAUGGAUUUAACAUGUUAACUGUGGUUGCUCUAGUCAAUCCAAUAAGUUGUCGAAUCAAAACUAUUUUUUAAAAAAAUAUAUAUAUCAUUUUGAAUUUUUUUCAAGUUAAAAUUAGUAUUAAUCGAGCGUCCGAGUUAAUUUUGGACUAUUAAAUUAAUUGAAUUAUAUCAAGUCAACCACUGUAAAGUUUUAAAAAAUUAUGCUAGAAAACAUAUUAGUAAUAUCUGAUUAUUUUUUUAUGUUAAAAAAAAAAUUGAUUUAACCUGUAAUAUAACACGAUUAUUUUUAUGUUUUUUGUUUGUAAUUAAUUUACAUCCUUUGCUCGUUAUCCGUUGUAGAGACAACGGUCAAUAGUCACUUUAGAUAUUACCAGGUAUAUUAGUGAGUGUUUAAUAAUCAAAACUAGUUAAAGAUUGGAAGAACAAGCUAAAACAAAAGUAUUUAAAAAUAAAAAGAACAAUAAUGACAAGCGGAUAAAUUUGUAGAGCAAAAAGGAGAACACCUUGUAAUAUAAUCUUUACUUCCUGCAGUUACAUUCAUGGACGAAGUAACCAGUAGCAUCCAUAAAUUAAUUAACCAUCCAUUCCCUGUGCUUAAUCACCCAUACUCCCAUAGCUUUAUAUACGAAAGGAGUGAUUGGGAUUAUGAUAAUAAUUGGGAUAUAACUUUUGUUUUUUAAAAAUGUAUUAAAAUAAUAUUUUUUAUUUUUAAAUUUGUUUUAUAUUAAAAUAUCAAAACGAUUUAAAAAACAUAAAGAAUUAUUUUUAUAUAAAAAAAUUAAGUUUUUAAUAAACAUAAUUUCAACAAUGUUUUCAAAAUAAUUUAAAAAAUAUAAAAAAUUAAAUUUUUAAUAAGUACAAUUUCAACAACAUUUCCAAAACAAUUUAAAAAAUAUAAAAAAAUUAAUUUUAUAAGAAAAAUUAAAAUUUUUAAUAAACAUAAUUUCAUUUUUUCAAAUACUGCUUUUAGAAUAGCCGCGGUUUUUCAAAUACUGCUUUUAGCAUAGCCGCGGUCUUAUCUUGUGGCAUUUUGAGAAUGACUAUUCCGAGGAAGCUUGUUCGCAUAGUUGUAGUAUUCGUUUCAAGGUCUUAUACAGUUUAAGGCCCACUUCCUUGAGUUGUUGGAUGAACACGUGGAUUAUUGAGUCAAAUUAGACUAGCCAUUCAUUCAAAAUAUUUUCUUUUUAAAAGUCUUCAGAGUUGACCUGGUAGAGUUUCCAAAGUAUAGAAUUGCCUUCGAGUCACUGGAUUAACCAUGAUUAGAACUUGUAGAAUUUUGAUGUCGUGAUUUUAUAUUGGAUUGAUUCUGGGUAAUAUAAUCCAUGAUACCCUUUGCGCAAUCUAUGAAUCCUCCUUCACGCCUCCUCGGAGUUCAACUCUGACACCACCAAAUUAUAACUCCAAUCUAACCAUAGAAGCACCCUCUUGGUGAACUCUAACUGCUUGUUAAAAGCGCACCAUAUCCCGAAGUCUGCAAGCCCUAUGAAGAGUGUGUUUGGCAGUAUGGUUGCGGGUGUUUUUCAAAUAGCUUUUCGUGCCGAAAUACAUGCUAAUAAUGUUUUUUUAUUUUUUUAAAAUCAUUUUUGACAUCAGCACAUCAAAACGAUCCAAAAAAUACAAACCGCACUCAAUUUCAAUAAAAAAAAAUUUCAAAAUUUAACAAAACACAAUUACAAACACAAUACCAAGCAGUCUCGAAAGCUUAAGCUGCAAAUUAUUAUGUUGCUUUUUCAUCCCUUGAAAGCACUGCAUGACAGCUUCCAGUGACAGGGACGCAUUACAGGGAGGAGGAAUUGAGGACAGGUUUUUUAUCUGUUCAAUUUGGUAGCGGUGCAGACUGUGGGGUCCGAGGUUUCUCUUUCCAAAAGUGCCCUACUGCAAAAGUUCACCAAUUAUUGACUCUUUUCUGUGGUUGCGGCUAGGUACCUGAACAACGUCCAUGGACAACAAGAAGGAAAAAAACUACCCUCCCUCCCAUGUUAUACCAAACACUGCUUGAUGCUAAAACAGCGAGAUAACAUCAAGUGCCCUUUUUUUAUAUGACGCCAUUCAUGAUUAUCGAACAGACAUAUAGUAACUUAAUUGUUCAUAAAUCAAAGAGUUCUUUCAACAACAGAAAAAAAAGACCUUCAAAAAUGAAAAUAAGAUGAGGAUUAAAUUCGCAUGGCAGCUGGAAAUUACAUUAAAAGAGGGGUAGCAGAGUAGCGAAAUUGUUCAACUGGAGUUAGCGGGUCAUCUUCAAUAAAACAUGCGACAUUAGAUCAAAUUCAAAUUAUACAGAGAAGAUUAAAACAAGGGAUUUAAGUACUUAACCAGGGGCCAAGAAACCAAAUCGUAAGGCCACUGGCAAUAUAAUACAUAUAUUCAAGUCAUGCUCGGUUAAUAAACAACAUUAUAAAGGAUAUCCCUGCCACAUUAGAAGAAUUCAGCCCAUAUAUAUAGCACACGAUAACUAUGAGCUCGAGCUCCUUUUAUUCCUCGGAUUAAACCAAAAAAAAAAAAAAAAAGCUCCUAUUCUUCAUCCCAGCAACUCUAUUAAGCUAAGCUGGAGAUCACGGCAGUUACUACAAGAAAAGAGAAGCGCACAAACCCCAACUAAUUAAAGGACAAACAUAUGUACACGUACAGCAAUCAAGGCAAAUAUAUAUCAUGCGGAACUCUAAGUAGUACCAGCUGGAGGGUUGGAAGGGGAGGGUUUACCAGUAAAAUCCUCCCACAUCUUCUUCUUUAUACCUCCUCUCUUGGGCGGCGCCAUUGGCCCAGAAGGCCGCCCAAAUCCCCGUUCACGAGGGGCUUCACUGGUGUUAGUUGCGGCAUUAUUGGUGUUCUUUUGGUUGCUGCUGACCUCACUCAUCCGGCUGAUCUCUUGUUAAUCAAUCAGAUCUCGUAUAUGAUGUUACAGAUAAAAAGUUUUGGAAAUGAAGUGAUAAAGCUUCCUGAAAGCAGAGAAAAGAAAUAAAUAUUGGAGGGGAAGGAGGGACAAAUGUAUAUGACAAAAAAUGUUAAGACAAUACCUGCCCUUAUCAGGCGCAGGUUGGUGCCUGCCUGCCCCAGUUUGUAUCUCACAUUAAAACCUUAAUUUGAUGCCGUGCCUGCCCUAGGAAUUUUGGUUUGGAGGGCCAAAUUAGAAAAAUAAUUCUAGAGGAGGUAAAAUUGAUUCUUUUUUAUUUUAUUUUUAAGACUAAAAAUAUAAAUUGUUAAAGGAAGAAAAAUUUUCCUUGCAGGGGGCAGCCCCCAUUGCUCUGCCUCUGUGUAUAGGGUCCCUUAUUUCCUGUCCUUAUCCUAUCAUCAAAGAGGACAAACUUUUUGACUUAUGCAAAGAUUGAAAUGAUGGGUUUUUUUUUAUAUAUUCCUUUAAUUAUAACGUGAAUAAGAAAAUCGAAAAUGUUAGUGUAGUCAAUUUAUUGUAUAAUUCUCACGUGAUGAACGAUGAAAAUGGAUUCCAAGGAAGACUCUUUGUGUGUGUUGGGGGUAUUUUAAAUUGAAAAUAUAUUAAAAUAAUAAUUUUUUAUAUUAAUACAUUAAAAUUAUUCAAAAAAUUAAUAAAAAUUAUAAAAUUUUUAAAUAAAAAAUAUUUUAAAAAACAUAAAUUAUCAUAAUAACAGAGGCAAUUAAUUUAUAUCACCAUCCCCUACUUGGGCUAAACUCCAUCUUACUCGGAGAUGCUGUUGGUAUCGUGUUUCAACUUUCAAGGCCUUACUUUCCAUGUCUUCUUCACUGAAAAAAAAAAGGCAAAAUUAAACUUAUUCUUUCUUUUGUUAUCUGAGUAAUGAAAUAAACUAUCUUUUUUUCACUCUAACUAUUUACUUGUACUAUGUAUAAUGUUUUUUAAAAAAACAUUUAAUUUAAAAUAUAUAAAAUGAUUUUUUAAUAUUUUUUAUUUUUAAUAUCAGCAUAUAAAACUAUAAAAAAUACUAAAAAUAAUCAAUUUAAUAUUUUAUGAAAUAAAAAAUAAUUUUCUUUCUCAACGCGGUGGCCUCCGUCCAAUUCUGUCUCGCUAUCUUCCAAAAGAAGGAACCCCCUCGGCUUGUCCUUUUCCAGUAUUUUUCCUUCUUUUGGAUCCAUGGAGCUGUUUCCUAAUCCACUGGGCAUUAAUAUGGAUGGGCCCAGGAAAGGAUACAAGCCCAAUAAGUUUCACGCACAUUUGGACGGGCAAUGCCAAGAGCGUCGAUAAAAGAAUAGCUUCCAUAUUUUAGCAAAGCUGGAUAUUUAUUCCCGCCCGAUGUUAUGUAUGAAUUCUCAAAGUUAUUUUUUAAAUAAUUUUACCAGUGAUUAAAAUAAGUAUUUGUGAAAACUUAAAGGAUUUAGAUUUUGAAAAAUAAAAAAUUGAUUUCUUAAGUAAGUUCUUGUUUAUUAUUUAUGUUUUUUGUUUUGAUAAAAAAAUAUUUUUUAAUAGCAACAUCGUUUUUUUAAUAAAAACUCUGGAUAAUUAAAUUAAAUAUUUAUUAAAAAAUCAUUAAUUUAAAUUAAAGAUGGAAACAUUAUUUUUUGAGGGAAAUGUCCCAUUUUCUUAUUAAUAUAAUUUUAUUUUAUGAAAAAACAUGUUUUUAUUAUUAGUAACAUAGUUUAUUAAAUUAAAACUUAUCAUAAUAUAAAAAUCAGAUUUCAAAUAAAAAAAUUACAUCUUCAUUGUUUUCAUGUGACUGCAUAAAAAAAUAAAAGAAUAAUUAAUUCAUGAAACCAUAUAAAAAAUUAACAAAGAAAAAACUAUGUUUUUUAUUUUCAUUGAAUAAUCAUGUGCAAUGUUUUUAAAAUUUGUUGCAUGUUAGGCAUAUAUAUAAUUAUUAAAAAAUUUGUUAAAAAAUAUCAUUUUUAGCGACAUUUUUUGUAAUAAAAAUCCAAGUAAUUAAAUUAAUUAUUUAUAAAGAUUCCAAUAACUUAAAUUAAGUAUGGAAGAAAAUUAUAUGGAGGCAACAACCCCGUUUUGUUAUUAAUAUAAUUUUAUUUUAUAUGAAAACAUUUUUUUAUUAGUAACAUUUUUGCUUGAAUAAAAACUUAUCAUAAUCUAAAAUUCAAGUUUCAAACAAGAAUAAGAAAUCAUGUCUUCAUUAUUUUUCUAUUAAAAAAAUAAAAGAAUGAUUAAUUUAUUAAAACCAUUUGAAAAAGUAGCAAUGAAAAAAUAAUACUGCUAAGAUCCUCAAGGCAGCAUGUCUGCCACCUCACGUUGUCCAAUCCUUAGAAAUCCCUCCAUCCAAACACCCAUUAAAAGAAAAGGGAAAUCAAACAGAAUAUUGUCUUAAAGAUGCAGUUGUGGUAUUUAAACCAGAUGUGUUGAAAAUAUUUCGAUUUACAAUGUAGCUGAAUAUUUAAUAACGUAAUAGCUGAAUAUUUUUCUUUUUAUAUUUUUCUCUCUAUAAAAGCACUCGAAUAUUUAACCCUUUGUACCGGGACAAAGGCAUUGAAAGAAUUAAAGCGCCUGAUGAUCAUAAACAAAUGCCUUUCUCUUUUGAACUCCAAGAUCUGUAAAGGGAUCGAGGCACACUACAUAAUUAUUCUUCGCUCUUUUAUUUUUUUUUAGUUUAAUAUAGGUGUUGGAGUUAACUUGCGUGUACCUCGACUAAUCCCAUGGAUCCUGAAGUUAACAACCAUGUAAGCCUCUAGUGGCCAUCAUAUAAGCAACCACAGGGCUUGAACCUGAAACAAAAAAAAAACAAAUCUUUUAAUUCUAAAUUUUUAUCACUAAACUACCAUAUGGUUUAUUCUUAACUCUUUUAUUUGACACAAAACCCUACCAGAGAGACCUUAUUAUAAUUAAAACAGUCGUGUAAUUUAUUUAUUGACUUCUUAUUAAUUAUUCCCCCGACGUAACGUACAAUGGGCUCCCACAAACAUAAUAAGGUAGAGAUCUUCGAGAGAAAUUAAUGUCAAAGAAAGGACAAAUAACUGAAAAAUACUUUAUCCUGUUUUUUAUGGCUGAAAUUUUCCGGCAAAAUAGUCUAUUGUUGGAGAUUUCGACCUCCUUCUUCUUUCCAGACUAUUUUAUCCUGCCACGGAAAAGAUACCCUCUAUGCAAAACCUCUCCGGUGACUGCCAGAAGUAUGUAUGCAUAUAUAAAUGAGCUGCUCCAUGUAACCAAAAAGACUGUUCCGAUCUACUAGCAUCAUUUAUAAGAACUCAUCAAAUACAGUCGAUUAAUGAUUUUUAGUUUAUUUAUUCAUUGUAUUUCGAAGAAGUUAAGUCUAUUCUUACACCAUGUAAACCUUCUCUCUUUUUUUAGAAUUUUGGCCGGGCUCCUGAAGCCAUUUAAAACUGGCGUCCUAAUGCUUAGACCUUUGGUUUCUAAUUAGGGUUUUCAAGAUCUAAAGAGAAUGAAUUAUUAGAAUCUUAAACUCAUGGAAGUAUGAUAAUCACCGUAAAUUAAUCCAUAGAGAAAUAGAAGAGAAGUAUAGCGUGGUAGAAAAUCAAUACCAAAAGUUUUAAAAAUUCUUGAAUCUAGCUUGUCAAAAAAGAGAAGGCAAAAUUGGAAUCUAGCUAGGGAUAAGCGGUUUGCAUAAAGAAAAGAAGAAAUAGCAUUAAAACACAGAAUGAGCGAGCUUAUUACAUUAUAGUAUGUUUUUACAUGGGAAAAACAGAGGGAGUACUAAACAACAAACAAGAAGGUGGAGAACAACUAUGAUUUUUGGUGUUUGAUGAUGGUUUUGGCGUUGUUUCUGCUCCUCUUGGCGAGCUCACUUUUUUGCAGCAGAGAAGCAAGGGAUGAGGCCAAGGACUCGUACAUCAUUUUCUUCACCUUUUUCUUCUUAGGAAAUACACUUCCAUUCUUAUUGUUGAACUGUGGUUCUGCCUUGGAGCUCACCUCUUUCAUUACGGAGCUAAUCUCCUUCACCUUCUUUGCCUCCCUCCUUGCUGUUGCCAUUUCCUCAGCUGGUGGUGCCUUUUCUAUUCCUGCCUCAGCACCUCUAGCUCAAUAUAUGGAGUCUGCAAGCCAGUUGGAAACUUCCUGGGUCUUUCCUAAUCAAAGGCUACAAACUUCAAUUACGUGCCAACUCCACUUGCAUUGACAAAUAGAACCUGGAGUACUCUUUCUUUCUCUCCUCCUUUCUCUUUCUUCAUUUUUCCUUUUCAUGGUUUUUACCAAUUACCGAUUACUGUUGGUGAUUGCCGACUCCAGGAUUCAAUGGUAUUAGCUUAAAUAUUCUCAUUAAAAAAAGGUAUUGGCAUUCUGCUUAUUAUUUAAGCGGUUCCUUAUUACGCUGAAUUCAAUCACAAUAUCAAACAGAGGUGAGAAAAUGCAAUGGGGCUGCUCUACUUACGAGUUUUUUUUUAUUAUUAUUUUUAAAACAUAAGCAUGUACUGAUAGGCACUUAACCUAGUCGUACAUCGUGAAUUAACAAAAGAAUGCGUGUUUUCAAAAAAAGCAAGACUUGCAAUGGCCAAAAGGGAAUCGGUCUUAAUAAUUAAAGCACUAGUAGAUUGUACAUAAUGAUUUGUUUCAGGGAAAUUUCCCUAAAGACCAGCACUUACUGAGCUUGUGCUCAAGGGUCAAAUAACACAGCGUGAUUAAGGAAGAAACAAGCCUCCAUCACAUCUCGAGAUUAACGAAGAGUAUAGUACAGUGCCCAAACCCGACUAAUUAAAAGAGAAGGUACCAGAGAUCUAAGUGGUGGCCCAGUGAUAAGAACUUGGGAUCAAGAAGUUUACUCUUUCUGUGGUUUCAGGUUCGAACCCUGUGGUUGCUUAUAUGAUGGUCACUGGAGGCUUACAUGAUCGUUAACUUCAGGGCCCGUGAGAUUAGUCGAGGUGCGCGCAAGUUGGCCCGGACACCCACGUUAAAAAAAAAAAAAAAAGAGAAGGUCCCAUCUAAAGAAAAAACACAACGUGAAAAGGAAACUGGUGAUAUACACAGCCAUAGAUCCCAAUUUAAAGUCGAUUAUCCUCCUACAGUAUCUUGUUUCGGUGAGUGAUGAGCGGUCAAGGAACCAGGGAAUUACGGAUUAGAAAGAAGAAGUCGAUUCGCAAGCAAUGCUGAGUGCACCACAUCGGCUCCAGCAAGGAAUUGGUGGUGGUUUCCAAUGCGUGAUCAUGUAUAUCGACGUCAUGCAUGAUGCGACGGUGUCAUUGCAUUUCUACUCUUUAUAAUAAUAAUAAAAGUUCUUCCUUAUUUUGGAAUUUGCCACAGCAAAAUGGCAACUUUUAAAGACCCUCGGCCUUAAUCUACGUUACUAAUUGAUAUUUGUUAUUUUGGUAUUAACUAGUAAUGCCGAGUUUGGAUUUGAAAGGAGUAAAAUAUCUCUGUGGUUGACUAUGUUUAGUAAUUAAAUAGAUGUUUGUAUAAAAUAAAUAAAUAUGGACAGAUUUUAUAUAGCUUCCCCGGCCAUAUCCUUUGUUUUCGACUGAAUCUGUUUAGGACUCCAACAAAUGGGAUUGUGGAAAUUGCUUAGAGAUUGAAGCAGCUAAAACCACUAAAUCAUCCUAAUUUAAUAAAUUUUAUUUUAAUAUUCAGGGUAUUUAACCAUAAUAAUUAAACACAUCUUGCUUCAUGACCCAACUCAAAUCUUUAGGUUUGUGGGUCAACACUAAGUCAAUCAAAACAAUAUAAUUAUUUUAAAAAAAAUUAAAAAUAACAUCAUUUUUAAAACAAAAUUAAAAAAGUUAUUUAGAAAACAUGUCGGCUCGAUUCAACAACAUACACGGUAAUUGUCAAAGAAAUCGCCCCGUUAGUAUUUAAUGCUAACGAGGACCUGUAAAACGUGAGAUAUCAAGCUUAGCAUCAAUAAUGUUUAAGGACACGCUUCCUUAUGACCUAUUAUUUAAACUUCAUAUAUAAAUAAAAUCAUCUAUUCGGAUUAAAGUGGACCCUCUAAGUAAAUUUUUCUUUACAUUCCAUUGCCACAUGAUGUACUUAUUUUUUACUGAAAUGCUCGCUGGAGGAAGCUUCUCGGAGAUUUCUGCGUUAGGAGUAGAAGUCAAGAAGGCUAGUGAUCAGCAUACUUUUAACUUCUUGAAUACCGACUCUAGCUAGGAUGGAUCAAUACAUGUUGUGGAUAUAGUUGCGUAACAGACCAACCAAGUUGUACUAGUCUUAAAUAAAUAAAUUUAAUUGGCUCGGUCAAAAACUCAAGUAAUUUAGAUAUAUAUAUCCGAUCAAAACUUAACCUUUAAUUCGAUGAUUAAUUUUAUAAAAAAAAAAAUUAAAACAAUUUUUCAUGAUCCAGUUGAUCCUUCUAACCCUUAACUUGAUUUUUAUCUCAAAUCAACUUUUGAAUUAGAUUUUACAACUAUGAUCUUAUGAUUCUCUUCUCUUUCUUUUUUUUCAUUUUUCUAUCAUGUUGUAAGCUAGUGUAUUCAUAUAUGUACACGAUAUUAUGCUAGAGAGAUGGACGGAUAUAUGCAUCGUUUUUCACUUAUGCAUUGUACAUGCUUUCACGAGCAUUCCUCAAUGGUGAUUCAAAUCACUUUAAAACAAAUUAUUGAAAGUAGGAGAUUUCUUUUCAAAUAAUGACAAAACUAUAAACCUGCAAAUUCAGAAAUUUAAGUCCAUAGCAUGUAUCAUGAGCAGAGGAGGGGGUAUCGUAAGGUAAUGCUCUGUUUUUGGAUAAUUGGAGUACUUCGUGUGUAUAAUAGAAUGACUGCACGUAUCUAUAAGGUUAUAUCCACACUUAUAUGCUAAAUAAAGAAAACCACGGUGAGGAGUUUCUUUAUGUAAACAACUAGAAUUUUGUAUAAUAUCAACAAAUUAUUUUCUUAGUAUUUUGAUAUUGAUUCUGUUGGAAAAUUAUUUCUCGAUUAGUAAUUGUUAGUUAAAAAACUUAUUGUCGAUGAUUUCUAUUAUAUUAGUCAUUUUGUUGAUAAUAUAAUCACCGAUAAAUUUACAAACAAAAAAAAUACGCCAAACAAAACAAAUUUACUAGCAUCAUUUUGUUAGCAAUUCCAUCGGUGAAAUGACAUGUCACUGAUAAAAAAACCGUUUUAAUUUCAUCGGUAAUUUACAUAUUGUUAGUGGCAUUUCUUGUAAUUUUUCUUCGAACUCUUUGGAACUUUCCUUGGGAUUUAUUUCGUCAAUAAUUCUGUUUGUAAUGGCCAAUGGCAAAAUCCUGUGAUUUUUUUCCAACUCUCUAUAAUUUUUCGAUGGGUUUAGUCCAUUUGUAAUUCCGUUAGUAUUUUGUUUAAUAUUUAAAAAAAUGAACAAAAAAACAAAAACAAAAAUAAAAAAAAUAAAACUAAAAUAAAAACCAAAUAUUUAUUAUAAAUUUAAAAAUUAUCACUUUUAAUAUAAUUUAUAUAAAGGACAGAAGCUAGAGAAGGGGAAGGAGGCGGAUUUUUGUUGGCACUGGGAGGCAAGCUACACCACAUCCACAUGUACCACCGAGAUUUCACAACAAUUCCAUGUAUAAUCGCCUGAGUAAUAGCCAAAAACGAAGGACCCAAUUAGCUUGUGCCAAAAAGAGAGAAGUUAAAAAAAAAACUAGCUAACGCUAUUGUUUUUUUUUUGGAAAUUAGUUUUUAUAAAAAAAAAAUUCUUAAAAAGUGAGAUUAUUUAUUUAUAUUUUACAAUAUUAUGAAAAAUAUAUUAGAAAAUAUUUUUUAGUGUUUGGUCAUGUCGUAGAAAAUAAGUUGAAAAAUAACUAAUUAAUAUAUUUUUAAAAAAUUUAUUAAAAGAAUAAGAACCUAAACUGACAUAUUAAAAAGUUAAAGGAAGAUAAAAUUCUAAUUUCAUAGAUUAUUUUAAAUAAAACAAAUAACAAUGAAAAGAAUAAGGGUCAAAGCUGACAGAUGAAAAUGUUAAAGAAUGAUGAAAUUAAAAAAAAAUUCAUAAAUUAUUUCAAAUAAAAAAAUACUUGUCAAAAGAAUAAUAAUCAAAUCUGAUAAGUAGAAAACGUUAAAGAUGAUGAAAUUAAAAAAAAUUAUAAAUAAUUUCAAAUAAAAUAAAUAGUGGUUAAAGAGAUAAGGAUCAAAUUUAAUAAAUAAAAAAAUUAAUUAAGAAAGGAUAAGAAAAAAAUAAAUAACAAUAAAAAAAAUAGGAUCAAAGUUGAUAUAAAAUCAAAUUAUAUCAAAUUUUAAGGAAUAAAAUUAAAAAUAAAAAAUAAAAAUAAAAUAUAUAACAAUCAAAAUAUUAAGGACUAAAUCUUAUAUAAUUAAUAAAUAUCAAGAUUUUUUUUAAUUUUUUAUAAUUUCUAGAAAGGAUAUUAUAAUCAAAAUAAAAUAAAAAUACUUUUAUAAAAUUCAAGCUAAAUAUUUUUUUAAUUAUAAAAAGUUUUCAUUGACCAGCUUGUUUAGUAAUAAACAGACCUGAAAAACUUUAGCGAUUAAUUUUUUAAAAAAAUACGGCCUUAAAUACCUGGCAUGGGACCGUGUAGGAACGCGCUGUUACGAGAUUGGCUGUCUUGCCUAGGAGGUAAGUGAACAUGACAUGAAGACAAACAAGCGCUUUUGGGUGUGAUUGUUCUUCUUAGUCAAAGUGACCCAAAAUGAGAAGUCAUCGGAUGGAUAUCUCAAAGAUUCUAUUCCGUACAACACAAAAAUCGCGGGCUUUUCGGAUCUGAUGUGGACAAGUAGGGUCCUUCAUAGAGGUGUUAAUGACAGUUUUGUUUCUUCGUUUAUGGUAAUUCCAUUAUCAUCAGAAAAACAAUUAUUGAAUUAUAUAUAAAACUUCCUUUCUAAAUUUAUUUCAAGUGAACAUAAAUGAAAUAGCAUGGUUGUAUAAUUUUGAUUUAUGGCUGACAAUAAAAGGUGUUUUUUAGUUAACAAAUAGAUACAUGUAGUGAACAAAAUGUUAAUAAUAUAUGGUUUUAUUUAUUGAUGCAUAUUUGUAGGUACAUGAAUUUUAGACAAUCUGUCUUGUAUGGGAGGUUGCUGAAUUUUUUUAAGAAUUGAAAUGUUAAUACAUUUUUUAAUCCUUUUAUUUUAGUUUUAUUUCUUUUAAUUUUUUUCUAGUUUGUUUGUUUGGAUUAAAAAAAAUUAAACACAUUACUGACGAAAUUACUAAUGAACUACGUCUAUCAAAAAGUUCUAGAGAGUUGGAAUAAAAUUGCUUGAAAUACCAUUGAGCAUAUGUUAAUCACUGACGGAUUAUAUCCGUCAAUAAUAUAAAAUAAAUCACUAAUAAAAUUACAAAUGGUUUUUUUAGUCAAUAAUAUGACAUACUAACUUAUGAAAUUACCGAUGGAAUGAUGUCAGAAAUUUUUUAAUUUAGCAUGUUUUGUCUAUUUAUCAAUAUAUCAAUGUUUAUAUUAUUAAUGGACCGACUAAGUAAAUAAAAAUUAUCAACGACAAGUUUUCUGAUGAGCAGUAAUUAUCCAAGAUGUCAUGUAGUGUUCUAAACAACGACGGAACAAUUAAUCCGUAAUAUGCAAAAUUAUGGCAAUAAAAACAUCUUCUAAAUGUGCAAAGAAAGAGAGGUUAAUUUAUGCUGGUUUUGAUUAGCCACGCGAUUAAAACAUUAUCAGCGGUAAUGUCAUAAUGGUAAAUUUGUCAUAUCUUAUCCCUUGGACUCCAUUAAUAGUUGACCUUCUCUAAUGCCCUUCUCAUUAGCCUACUUUUAUUCAAAUGUUAAUUUCCAUGGCGUGAAUGCAUUAAAAUUUCUAUUAUUUCCAAUAAAACAUUAUUAAUGUUCUCUCCCAGCGACAACAUAUUACGAAUAGUUCUGUUAUAAAAGUCCAAAUGGUGUGGGGGUGGAUAACGUGUACAGUGUCCGAUUAGCUUCGAUCUGGCCCAUUCACUGUACAAAGAAAACCCUUUUAUAGUCGAUGACAAAUGCACCAUUUUCGAAUCAAAUCUCGAAGGAACUUUUCUUAUUAUUUUUAUAAGCUGUUUACAGCUACUUUUUUUUUUCUAGAUUGAAAAUAUAAAAUACUAACUAUUUAACCCGCGAGCUCUAAAUUUUUUUAAAAAACCUUGAGUAUGAAAGCUGUAAUUUAUAAUCAUUUAAGUAAAUAAAAACACUGUUAACAAUAACCAAAAGAAAAAUUAGAAAAAUUAAGAGAUGAAUGUAGGCCGAGAUAUUUGAUCCUGUAAAAUGAGAUAUUUAACCGUUUGUGUCUACUGAAUUUGCUUAUUAAAAUCAAUAAAAGAUAAUAAAAAUAGAAACAAAUGCGGAACUGAAAAUAUUAUGCAAGGCCAAACAUAUAAGAGAUAUUAUUUAAGAAUAAAUAUUUUCUUGUAAAAUAAAGUUCACCCGUAUAAAAUAAAAAGCAUUAUUCAAAAUCUUUUAUUAAAUUUUUUUUUGCAAAACUCAUGGUCUGAUAUACCUAUAAAGAAGAAGUUGAAGAUAACCACAAAAACAUUUUUUUUAAAAAAAAGUCAUGUUAAAUGUUAAAAUCAUAAAAGAAAUUGAGGAAAAGGAUCAUGAACCGCAUGAAUUUGUCAAUAGAUCAGAAGCAUCACAAAUAAAAAAGCUUCAAAGCUCAUUCUCCAUCAAAUCAAAGGUCGUAGGAUGAAACUGGAGAAAAAAACCACACAAAAAUUGUGAUUAAAAGAAUGAGGGAGAAAAUUAAAAUAAAAAAUAAAUUAGAUGUAUCUAAAAAAUUUAAAUUGGAGGGUUAAUUUAUAAACAAUUAAACUUUAACAAAAAAAAAUUCAAAAGAAUGAGAGCUAAAUUGAAAACAAUAAAAAAACAUAAACUUUGAUUAAAAAAUGAAAUUGAAAACCAACAAAACUUUAACAGAAGAGUCAAUAGAAAAAAAUCAGAAAUCAAAAUAAUAAGAACUUAAUUGAAAAACAUAAUAUAUGACAAAUUGUAAUUCAAGGACUAAAUUGAAAAAAAAACUAAAACUUUUAUAAUAGGACCAAGGAUGACAAUAAAAAAUAAAAAACAAAAGGAUUGAAAUUGACAAAUUUAAAGAAAAGAGGACAAAGGUGCACUUCCUCUAGAAAUGAGAGAAAAUAAGGAAGAAAAAAUGUUUGCUGUCUCAUAUAGUAGAGGACACAACGGUGCAUUCAAUGACACGGAAGAAAGGUAUGUUUGGCCACCGUAUGGGUCUGCACGCGCCACCCAAAUAUCGUAGACAACACCUACCUGUGAGCGCGUGCACGUGAGGCGCUAGCACUUUUUUGAAAAAAAAUAAUUGUUUUCUAACAUAGAAAUACCAUAAUACCCUUCAUGAAUAUGAGAAUCACAAAAAAAAAAAAAAAACUUAGUGAAAGUACACAUAUGUCCUUAGAUGCAUGCCUUUAGUUUUAUCUUUUCUCAGGGUAUAAUUGUAUUUCUACUGUAUUUCAAAGUAAAAUCCUCGGUCAACAACUCAUUUUUUUUACUUCGGGAGUAAACAUGUAUUUUGACUAUUUCAAUAUUUUUUAAAAUACUAAAAAACCCCUUGGCAAUAACUUAAGAAAUUGUUAAAUUCAAGGACAAAAAUGUAUUUAUACAAAAAAAAUGAAAAAUACCAACGUACCCCUACAACCUUUUAAUGACUAAUGGAACAAUUAUAAAGAUUAAAACAUCCUUAAUGCCAUUACAUUUUUUUUUUCAAUUCAGGUAUAAAAUGAUAAUUUUAUUAUAGCAAUUCACCAUAAACUAUAUUUAUUAUUACAAUAAUUUUACUAUAACAAUUCACAAUUAUAUAGUAGUUCUAAAGUUUUUGUUAAUAAUAAAAUAAUAUCCUAUCCUAUUCCUAUGGUUUUCCAAUUCGUUUUGGGCCUUUUGCUUUCAAGCUCUUAAAAAACAACUAUUUAGUAUAUUGUUAAACCUCUAGUCAAUAGAGUAGAUAUUUUCACACUUGAGGGUUUGUUUGUUUUUAUAAUUGAGGUUGAGGUUUGUAUUUAGGAUCCACCAAAAAAACAAGAAAAAUAAGCUUUUAUAGUUGAAUUUUAUUCAUUAUUGAAUUGUACUCAACCUCAACUUUAAUCAUAAAAACAAACACAUUCAAACGUGUGAAUAACAUUGGGUUUUAGUUUAAUUCUAAAUUAGUUUCAUGCUAUUGGCUAAUUAAUCAAUUAUAUUAACCAUCCUUGCAAGUUUAAUCCGAAAAAGGGGUUCUUAAAGAUUCUUGGAAAUGGGAAAAUUAUAAUUCCAUUUUUUAGAUUUUGAAUUUCACGGGAAGUUCCUUUCAUUACUCUUAAAUUUAUCCUCCACAUCUAUAGUUACGAGAAGUGGUUUCAAUCAAUUAUUACAAGACACAGAGAUAUGAGCCAGCAUCAAACACUCAAGUAAAGAACGAUGACACAAGAAGUGAAAACCAGACACGGUACAGACAGCCUUUGACGAUAUAAAUAAAUUACGUGCAAGUAGAGUAGUGAAGAGGCAAAACUCUGGGUACUAUAAAACAUAACCCAAGACUGGUAAACGAUGACACAAACAUUUGAUGAAGGUACGUAGCCAAAUUAGUUUGUGCAGCAACCAUCCUUUUUGGAUGGAUCAUAAGAGAGGGUUGAUGAGAAGGCCGGACAAGCAGAGCUAAGAGAAGCAACAGAUCGGCCAAUGUAACCUAGCAUCAUGGACUUGACCAAACUCUUCUUCUUUGGAAACACACUCCCUUUCUUUUGCUUGAACCAUGGCUCUGUCUUGGCUUCGACUGCUUCACUUGGACUCAGCUUCAGUGUCAUGUUCGCUCCUGCCUGCUGUCUCAUCAUGUGUUCCUCUUCACCACUUUAUUUAGGGUUCCAAUUUCAUCCUCUUACUUUAUAAAUGGGUUCUUUGUUGCUGUUUUAUCAUAUGCUCUUUAGACUUUCGCCCUGUGGUAUCAUGCACCACAUGCUGCCGGUAGCAAUAGCGUAGGUUUCACACUUGUACAAAGGAUAGCGUCCGUCUUAUCGUUUUCUUUUCUUUGUUUGAUUUUUAGAAAAAAAUACUAAUACAUUUUGCUUUUUGUUGUUUUUUAGAAAAAUUAAUAAUACAUUUUUAAAAAUUAAAAGACCUAUAAGUUCGGUUGAUUCUUUAGUCGACAAGUGAGUCCUUUUUUGAGUCUUUUUUUUUUUAAAUCAAUUUAUUUUCUACUAUCUAAAAACCUUUUUAAAUAAAAACAAAAUAUGCAUUUAUUGUUAAUUGUCCAGUUUUCAUAAUAUAACUUGCUAGAUUGAGGUUAAUUUCUUUAUUUUUUUAUUCUCUUAUAAAUUUUUCAACUCUUACUGUACACUUUUAAUCAUUGUAAAAACCAUAACAAGAAAAGGAAAGUUAACACAUAAUUCACCAAUAAAAAAAAAAUUAAGGUUAUGUAAGCAAUUUAUUAUUUAAGCAGAUAUUAUAGGAAAUAUAUGAUUAAGAAAUCUAACCCUUUUUGGAAAAUAAAUAAAUAUGAACAUAUUUGUCAAUGAAGAUUUUGAUAAAACUCAUUAAUCCUUUACUUCCCAAAAUUUAACUUAUUGAUAUAUUUUCCUUGUUUUUUCUCCAAAUAGUACAUCAACUGAGUUCAAGAUACUCCUACUGAGUUUGGAUGCUUGGUAGAAAGUGAAAAAAUGCUGAUGGACUAUAUAUGUGGGAUUUUGGUGUCCCCCGAGGAGAUCAAGUGUUUGGGAGUGUGAUUGUAGUUGUGAUUAUUUUUUAAAGUGUUUUUCACUCAAAAAAGUAUGUCAAUAAUAUUUUUUUAUUUUUUAAAAAUUAUUUUUGAGAUCAGCACAUCAAAAAUAUAUAAAUUCAAAACAAAACAAAAUUCAAAUUUUUUCAGAAGCGUUUUUUAAACACCACAUCCUUAAAUCUAAUUAUGCCAACAUAUUUAAACAUGGUGAAGGAACCCGCAAAUUCAUGCAUAUAUAUUGAGACAACGCUCAGAAUAUCCUCUCUAAAUUAUUGAUAACUUUUAACUAAAAUAGUUAAAAAGUUAUUUUAGCCAGUUGGUUAAAUUUUUUUAUUACAUUCAUGCUCUCUAAAAUAAAAAUUCAUGAAUAUUUUAUUAUUAUUUUUUAAUCAAUUAAUAAUAAUAAUUUUUAAAAUCCAAGCACGAUAAUAGUUAUAUUUCAAUUAUCAUAUUCUUAACAUAUAUAUUUUUAUAUAUAUAAAAAUCACUUAAACUUUCAUUUUCAUUCAUCAUUUCCCUCACUUUCUCCAUCGUAGCUACAUUUCUUUAUAUAUUUUUUGUCCAUUCUAUUUUUAUGACUUCUAACAAUUUCUUACUAAAAUGCCUUUUCACGAUGAUGACCCUGAUGAUGAUUUAGAAUUAUUUACAGUAGCAAACAAUUGAAGAAGAGCAACAAGCUAGCUAGCAAGGGACGAUCAUCAUAUCGACAUGGUCCUUCCAUUCCCUGUGAGAUACUUAAAGGUCAUAAAAUGCUUGAACGCCACUAUUUUGAUGAAAUUAACCUUUUUAUAUCCUCCACGUUUAUUUCUAAGAAGAUUUCAGAUGAGUCGUCCAUUUUUUUACAUAUUAAAUAUGCAGUAAAAGCAUAUAAUCAAGACUUUGAAAAUGAUAGACAAAUAAACCAAACAAGAAUAAAUAGUUUAUUUUUACGUAAACUCUACGAUACAAGGAACAAGUGUUGUAUUCUUACACCAACACUACAAGAAAAAGUAGUUUUGAAUUUGAUGUAAAACUAAACGAAACGUUAAAAUUGUUUUGUUUUGACAGGCGUUGGAACACUUUCCCUAAACAUGUGUUGCUCGUGAGUCGUGAAAAUCAUUAGGCAAACUUAAAAAAAGAAAAAAAAGAAGUUGAAGUUGAAGUACUGUGUUUGAAAAGUUGUUUUGUAAACGGCAUCCAUGUUUUUCUUUGCGUGAAUGUUUUGUGUUCAUAUUUGUUUGAAAUUGGGAUUCAAGCUGUUUGUGACCUGCUGUUUAUUACUGUGUUUGAUACGCUGUUUUGCUAUUUUUAAUUUUUGAAUUAUUUUUUUUCUAUCAUAAUGAUAUCAGAGAUAAAUUUUAAAAAAUAAAAAAAAUAUUAUUUUAAUGUAUUUUCAAAUAAAAAAAAUUAAAACAUAAUCUUUUACUUAUACUUUUACUGUAACUCUCAAACAGACACUAAUUGCUUACUUAGAUAUAUAGCCAACCUCGUAAUUGUUUUACUGUAUCAUGAGUUAAAUCAAGUUUUAUAACUUUACAUCGUUGAGUCAAUCUAUCAUGUUUAGCAGUGGUUAGAGUAGUUGUUUGUUAAACCAAGUUCUUCUUUCUUCUCUUUUCCUCUUCUCUCCUUUAAAAAUUAAAACACUAAUUGUUCAUGUAACCCCAUUGUCAACCUCAUAAUCUGUGAUUCUAGAUAAUAACCAUUCCCUUGUAUUCCAAGAUGAAGCACGCGCGGAAAUCCAGCUUCGAGAUCUGCUAACGCCUCGGACUAACAUUUUAGUAACCAUUUUGAUUACAUCUAGUAAAUACAUAACCGGCCCACAUACAAUACGACAAGGUAACCAUUUCGAUACUGUCGUAGCUUCCAUACAAUCCCAUUCGAAUUCAACAGGGUUGCUCUUGAUGAUACUAGAACAGCCAACAGGGCUGCUCCUUGAACAUUUAUAGCAGUGGAGCAAGUGCUGAUUGAGCAUUAAUAUAUUUCCCAGAUGAUUAAACAGCAGUAGCAGUAUCUCAAUAAUUUUUAUUUUAAUUAAUGGCGCCACUCCCUCUGAAGGGGGAAGAAGUCCUGCCAUUUGAGGUUGUCACUGGAUAGUAGAGAGUAGAGACAGAACCUUGCUAUGUUGUGAGACUGGAGAGUAAUGGCCAAAGAAACAAACACUAGCACGCAUACGUUUCUUCCUCAACAUUAAAUUAAAUAAAUGAAGAGGACAAUAUCAAUUUAUUGUGGGAGAUCCAUGACACUGCCGGCAAGAAAUUAUUUUAUGAUUACCAGCGGUGUUGGGACCCUCUAAAAGAAAUUUUUUCCCAUUUAGAAUUGGUUCCCAACCUACUUUGUACAUGUACCAAAACUCAAGAAUUACCUCUUUAUACUUCAAGAAUCUGAGAUUUUCUUAAAUUGGUUAUCGGAAAUCGAGUUACUCAAUUGAAUUAAAGUGGAGAAUUACCAAUCGUGGUUCGUGUUUUUAUUGCUGGAACUUAACUAGAGGCUUUUCAGUUCUAUUCCUCGACAUUUCUUAGAGAUGCUUUCAGGAUUUUUAUGAAGUUUUCGAACUUGGGUUUCUGGUGUUUUAAAAAAUUAUCAACUUCAGCAGAAUUCUCUCUUUUCCCCCCUUUCUGUGACUUGUGAGUUGAGUGGUGAUGGUAAGAUCAGAUACAAGGUUAACAAACAUCAAUACUGAGGCUCGAAAGUUGAAGCUGGGUUUUGUCAGAGAAUUGCAGUGGGUUAAUUUCCCCUGUCGAUGGGUUGGCCACUGAUGGCAACAACCGGCGAUUAAUGCACAUCAUAAGAAUAUAAUAAGCCCGCAAGAAGCUAAGAAACAAGGAAACGUGUUUUUAUGCCAGAGAAAAAGUACAUCACUUAUCACAGAUCAUUAAUUAAGAGCGUAUCCAGAACACAAAUAUCUACUAACACAAUAACAGGUUCUAAAGUAACGAAAACUUCAAAAAAUAUAUAUAUAUCAAACAAGGAACUCAUCAAAUACAGUCCGCAUUUGAUACUUUUGUGGGUGAAAUGAUCUUCCUGCAGCGAGGAUAUUCAUUGUUUGCUUGAGGGGAGGCUCCAAGCCGGGGGAAGAAGAAACAGGAAGAGCAUAGAGAACUAACAGAUUGAACCAAAUAAUCAAACAUCAUUCUCUUUACUAACCUCUUCUUCCUGGGAAAAACACUCCCUUUCUUGGGUUUAAACCAUGAUCCUGCCUUGGUUCCGGCCUCAACUGAAUUCAGCUUCGUCUCCAUCUGUAGAGCCUCCCGGAGUAGAGUCCUUCUCACUUUGCUUUUACCUUGUUUCACUACCCCAGAAAUUGUGGCGUUUGUGAAUUGUUUUACCUAUACCUAUGUGAGCUUUGAUUUGAGUGGAGCAGAGCAGAGCAGACCAGGCUUGCACAAAGGCUGCGUUUAAUAGAGAGGAGCUUGAUUUCCCCCCUUCUAUAUUCUUUUAAACUCUAAAACUCACCAAUCACAAGAUAACUUACUGGAGAAGAUUCUAUUGAAGCGAGAUGGUUUCCUCUUUUGACACGUGGAAAUUGAAGACACGAUCCCUGUGGUCUGUCUGUCCACCAGAUUUCCCGCCAAGGUCCCUAGAGGCGUAGGUUUAGCCCCCUUUGAUACUGUAGAAAGCUUGAGCUCCAAGUCGCUCAGUCUAUUAGCCCAAAGGAACGCUGCCUCGCGGGUAUGACGGCCUUCUUACGUUUAACUGUCGACGGUCAACCCCUUGAUUUCCUUUUCUGGACUCGGUUUUUUUUAAUUAGUAGAGGAAAGGAAAAAU
rnacentral:lncRNA from 1 species